rnacentral:rRNA from 1 species
AUUGAACGCUGGCGGCAGGCUUAACACAUGCAAGUCGAGCGGAGAUGAGGUGCUUGCACCUUAUCUUAGCGGCGGACGGGUGAGUAAUGCUUAGGAAUCUGCCUAUUAGUGGGGGACAACAUUCCGAAAGGAAUGCUAAUACCGCAUACGUCCUACGGGAGAAAGCAGGGGAUCUUCGGACCUUGCGCUAAUAGAUGAGCCUAAGUCGGAUUAGCUAGUUGGUGGGGUAAAGGCCUACCAAGGCGACGAUCUGUAGCGGGUCUGAGAGGAUGAUCCGCCACACUGGGACUGGAACACGGCCCAGACUCCUACGGGAGGCAGCAGUGGGGAAUAUUGGACAAUGGGGGGAACCCUGAUCCAGCCAUGCCGCGUGUGUGAAGAAGGCCUUAUGGUUGUAAAGCACUUUAAGCGAGGAGGAGGCUACUGAGACUAAUACUCUUGGAUAGUGGACGUUACUCGCAGAAUAAGCACCGGCUAACUCUGUGCCAGCCGCCGGGGUAA